rnacentral:snRNA from 1 species
AUACUUACCUGGUGUCGGAUUCCCGGUGAUCAGCUAGGCCGGGGUCCCGUGCCGAGGCCUGUCAUUGCACUGCGGCAGGCUGAAGCACGCCACUUUCCCAAACUGGGAUAGAUGGGGCAUGUAAUUUUUGGUAGUGGGGCUAGGCGUUCGCGCCAGCCCCUG